rnacentral:rRNA from 1 species
AUUGAACGCUGGCGGCAUGCUUUACACAUGCAAGUCGAACGGCAGCGCGGGCUUCGGCCUGGCGGCGAGUGGCGAACGGGUGAGUAAUUCAUCGGAACGUGCCCAGUCGUUGGGGAUAGCCCGGCGAGAGCCGGAUUAAUACCGCAUACGACCUGAGGGUGAAAGCGGGGGACCGAAAGGCCUCGCGCUAUUUGAGCGGCCGAUGUCGGAUUAGCUAGUUGGUGGGGUAAAGGCUUACCAAGGCGACGAUCCGUAGCUGGUCUGAGAGGACGACCAGCCACACUGGGACUGAGACACGGCCCAGACUCCUACGGGAGGCAGCAGUGGGGAAUUUUGGACAAUGGGGGAAACCCUGAUCCAGCCAUGCCGCGUGCGGGAAGAAGGCCUUCGGGUUGUAAACCGCUUUUGUUCGGGAAGAAAUCCUCUGGGCUAAUACCCCGGGGGGAUGACGGUACCGGAAGAAUAAGCACCGGCUAACUACGUG